rnacentral:rRNA from 1 species
GAUGAACGCUGGCGGCGUGCUUAACACAUGCAAGUCGAACGGAAAGGCUCCUGCUUGCAGGGGUACUCGAGUGGCGAACGGGUGAGUAACAAGUGGGUGAUCUGCCCUGCACUUCGGGAUAGGCCUGGGAAACUGGGUCUAAUACCGGCUAGGACGAUGGUUUGGAUGCCAUUGUGGAAAGUUUUUUCGGUGUGGGAUGAGCUCGCGGCCUAUCAGCUUGUUGGUGGGGUAAUGGCCUACCAAGGCGUCGACGGGUAGCCGGCCUGAGAGGGUGUACGGCCACAUUGGGACUGAGAUACGGCCCAGACUCCUACGGGAGGCAGCAGUGGGGAAUAUUGCACAAUGGGCGCAAGCCUGAUGCAGCGACGCCGCGUGGGGGAUGACGGCCUUCGGGUUGUAAACUCCUUUCGCUAGGGACGAAGCGCAAGUGACGGUACCUGGAGAAGAAGCACCGGCUAACUACGUG